ensembl:lncRNA
AGUAGAUUUCAAGACACAAACUAUAAGAAGAGACAAUGAAGGUCAUCAUAUAAUGAUAAAGGGGUCAGUUCAGCAUAGGAUAUAACAAUUGUAAAUAUAUAUGCACCUAACUAUUGGAGCACUCAUAUAUAAAGCAAAUAUUAGAGCUAAAGAAACAGAUUGGAGAGAAAGAAAAAAAUUGAAAUAAUAUCAAGCAUCUUCUCUGACCACAAUGGAAUAAAACCAGAAAUCAACAUUAUGAAUUUUGGAAACUAUACAAACUCAUGGAAAUUACCUAAUAUGCUCCUGAAUGACCAGUGAGUCAGUGAAGAAAUUAAGAAAGAAAUUGAAAAAUUUCUAAACAAUAAUGGAAACACAACAUACUGAAAUCUAUGGGGAUACAGCAAAAAUGAUACUAAGAGGAAAGUUUAUAGCUAUAAGUGCCUACAUCAAAAAAGAAGAAAAACUUUAAAUAAAAACCUAAUGAUGGAUUUUAAAGAAAUGGAAAAUCAAGAGCAAGCCAAACCCAAAAUUAGUGGGAAAAAAAGAGAUAACAAAGCUCAGAGCAGAGAUAAAUGAAAUUGAAAUGAAGAAACAUACAAAAGAUCAACAAAACGUUAGGUUUUUGAAAAGAUGAAAAAGAAAAGAAAAAAAAAAAAAACAAAUCUUUUGCCAGACUGAGGAAAGAGAGAAGACUUCAAAAGAUCACAGAUGAAAAAGGAGAUGUUAAAACCGAUACCACAAAAUUCAAAGGAUUAUUAGUGGCUACUGUGAGCAGCUGUAUGCCAAUAAACUGUAAAACCUAGAAGAAAUGGAUAAAUUCCUAUAUACAUACAAUCUUCCAGGACUGAACCAUGAAGAAAUCCAGGGUGUGAACAGACCAAUAACAAGUAAUAAGAUAAUAGUUGUGAUGAAAAGUCUCCCAGUAAAAAGUACAGGACCUGAAUGGCUUCACUGCUGAAUUCUACUAAGCAUUUAAUGAGGGUUUAAUACCAAUCAUAGUCAAAUUAGUCAGAACAAUAGGAGGAUGGAAUACUUUUAAACUCAUUCUAUGAGGGCAGUAUUACCCUGAUACCAAAACCAAACAAAGACGCAUCAGAAAAUGAAACUGCAGGCCCAUAUCUAUCGGAGGAAUGAGCCCCCGGUGUUUCAACAUAGGUUCUUUUCUAUUUUCCCUAAGUGUUGGCUGGUCUGAGAAAUAAAGGGAAAGAGUACAAAAGAGAAAUUUUAAAGCUGGGUUUCCAUGGGAGACAUCACAUGUCAGCAGGUUCAGUGAUGCCCCCUGAGCUGUAAAACCAGCAAGUUUUUAUUAGCAGUUUUCAAAGGGGAGGGAGUGUAUGAAUAGGGUGUGGGUCACAGAGAUCACAUGCUUCAAGGGCAACAAAAUAUCACAAGGCUAAUGGGCAGGGCAAGGUCACAAGGCCAGGGUGAAACUAGAAUUACUAAUGAGGUUCCUGGUCCCGCUGUGCAUGCAUUGUCAUUGAUAAACAUUGGGAACCGGGUUGAGAGCAGACAACCGGUCUGACUAAAAUUUACUAGGCAGGAAUUUCCUAAUCCUAAUAAGCCUAGGGGCGCUGCAGGAGACUACGGCAUGUUACAUCCCUAUCUACAACUGCGUAAGGCAGACACUCCCAGAGCAGUCAUUUUAGAGGCUCCCUUGGAAAUGAGUUCUUUUCCCAAGGCUGUUAAUUAUGAAUAUUCCUUACUGGGGAAAGAAUUCAGCAAUAUUUCUCUUAUCCGUUUUCUGCAAUAAGAGAAAUACGGCUGUGUCCUGCCUGGCUCCCAGGCAGUCAGAUCUAAUGGUUAUCUCCCUUGUUCCCUGUUACCCUGUUCUUUUUUCAAGGUGCCCGGAUUUCAUAUUGUUCAAACACACAUGCUUUACGAACAAUUUGUGCAGUUAACGCAAUCAUCACAAGGUCCUGAGGUGACAUACAUCCUUGGUUUACGAAGAUGACAGGAUUAAGAGAUUAAAGACAGGCAUAGGAAAUUGUAAGAGUAUUGAUUGGGGAAGUGAUAAAUGUCCAUGAAAUCUUCACAAUUUAUGUUCAGAGAUUACAGUAAAGACAGGUGUAAGAAAUUAUAAAAGUAUUAAUUUGGAGAACUAACGAAUGUCCAUGAAAUCUUCACAAUUUAUGUUCUUCUGCCAUGGCUUCAGCUGGUCCCUCUGUUUGGGGUCCCUGACUUCCCCCAACACAUGUCUCUGACUAUUGAUGCAAAAAAUCUUCAACAAGAAUACUAGCAAACCAAAUUCAACAACAAUUGAAAAUAUUAUUCAUCAUGACCAAGUGGGAUUUAUUUCAGGAAUGCAGAUAGUUCAACAUUUGCAAAUGUGAUACAUCAUAUCAAGGGGAUGAAGGACAAAAAACGUCAAUUGAUUCUGAAAAAGCAUGGCAUAAAAUUAAACAUCCUUUCAUAAUAAAAACCCUCAAAACUGGGUAUAGAAGGAACAUGCCUCAAAACAGUAAAAGCCAUAUAUGACAGACCCAUAGUUGUUAUCACACUGAAUGAGGAAAAACUGAAAGCCCUUCUCUUAAGAUCUGAAACACAGCAAGGAUGCCCACUUUCACUACAGUUACUCAAUAUAGUACUGGAAGUCCUAGCUGGAGCAGUCAGACAGGAGAAAGAAAGAGCAUCCAAAUUGGAAUGGAAGAAGUCAAAUUGUCCUUGUUUGUAGAUGAUAUGAUUUCACGUUUGGAUAAACCUAAAGAAUUCAUCAAAAAUGAUUAGAAGUGAUAAAUUCAGUAAAGUUGCAGGAUUCAAAAUCAGCAUACAAAAAUCAAGUAGCAUUUCCAUAUGCCAACACUGAACAAUGUGAAAAAGAAAUCAAGUCACCCCAUUUACGAUAGCUAGAAAUAAAAUCCGAGGCGUUAACCAAAAAAGUGAACAAUAUCUACAGUGAAAGCUAUAAAAUGUUGGUGCAAGAAAUUGAAAACAAACACACACAUAAAGGAAAGAUGUUCUAUGUUCAUGGAUUGGAAGAAUGAAUAUUGUUAAAAUGUCCAUACUAACCAAAGCAAUCUACAGAUACAAUGUAUUCCCUAUCAAAAUACCAAUUACGUUCUUCAGAGAAGUAGAAAAAACAAUCUUGAAAUUUGUAUAGAACCACAAAAGACUUGGAAUAGCCAAAGCUAUCCUAUGCAAAAAAAAGAAAAAAAGAAAAA